rnacentral:tRNA from 1 species
GGUCAUGUGGUGAAUCCCUUAUCACAAUGAAAUUUCAAUUCAUAGGACUAAUGACUG